AUUGAACGCUGGCGGCAGGCCUAACACAUGCAAGUCGAACGGUAACAGGAAGCAGCUUGCUGCUUUGCUGACGAGUGGCGGACGGGUGAGUAAUGUCUGGGAAACUGCCCGAUGGAGGGGGAUAACUACUGGAAACGGUAGCUAAUACCGCAUAACGUCGCAAGACCAAAGAGGGGGACCUUAGGGCCUCUUGCCAUCGGAUGUGCCCAGAUUGGAUUAGCUAGUAGGUGGGGUAACGGCUCACCUAGGCGACGAUCCCUAGCUGGUCUGAGAGGAUGACCAGCCACACUGGAACUGAGACACGGUCCAGACUCCUACGGGAGGCAGCAGUGGGGAAUAUUGCACAAUGGGCGCAAGCCUGAUGCAGCCAUGCCGCGUGUAUGAAGAAGGCCUUCGGGUUGUAAAGUACUUUCAGCGGGGAGGAAGGGAGUAAAGUUAAUACCUUUGCUCAUUGACGUUACCCGCAGAAGAAGCACCGGCUAACUCCGUG
rnacentral:rRNA from 1 species